rnacentral:rRNA from 1 species
GAUGAACGCUGGCGGCGUGCCUAAUACAUGCAAGUAGAGCGAACAGACGAGGAGCUUGCUCCUCUGACGUUAGCGGCGGACGGGUGAGUAACACGUGGAUAACCUACCUAUAAGCCUGGGAUAACUUCGGGAAACCGGAGCUAAUACCGGAUAAUAUUAUGAACCGCAUGGUUCAAUAGUGAAAGACGGAAUUGCUGCACCAUAUAGAUGGAUCCGGGCCGCUUUGGCUAGUUGGUAGGGUAAGGGCGUACAAAGGCAACGAUGAGAAGCCGACCUGAGAGGUUGACCGGCCACACUGGAACUGGGACACGGUCCAGACUCCUACGGGAGGCAGCAGUAGGGAAUCUUCCGCAAUGGGCGAAAGCCUGACGGAGCAACGCCGCGUGAGUGAGGAAGGUUUUCGGAUCGUAAAACUCUUUUAUUAGGGAGGAACAAAUGUGUAAGUAACUAUGCACGUCGUGACGGUACCUAAUCAGAAAGCCACGGCUAACUACGUG